rnacentral:rRNA from 4 species
GAGUCUCCUGAAGGAACGUUGAAGACGACAACGUUGAUAGGCCGGGUGUGUAAGCGCAGCGAUGCGUUGAGCUAACCGGUACUAAUGAACCGUGAGGCUUAACCUUACAACGCCGAAG